rnacentral:tRNA from 1 species
CACCUGGUCGACGAUGGACAGGUCAAGGUUUUUUGGCACAAAACCGGCGCCGAUGCCCUGGAUCUUGUGCGGGCUGGGUUU